GUCACCACCCCGAAGUCAAAGCAGCAGCCUUCAAGUUUCUUAACGUCUAACCGCCCGCCAUUAAGGAUGGAUGACACAGUAUGGGAACGAAUUCUGUUCAUAUAAACAGGGACGGAAAAUGCAGAUGGUGAUUAUUAACGGGAGACGACCGAAUUAUGCGAGAACUGCCUCAGACGUCAAUUUCACUUCUACCUUUCUGGACACGCCUUUUCUGCUGGGGCCAACGUAAAGAGGAUGCCACCACCAGAAGACCCCAAUUGAAAGACCAAACCUUCAAUCAAGCAAGCAGGAAACUUCAGAACAGUCAUCCAAGAGAAACGCCAGUAAAGAAAUCUACAUCCGGUCCUCCUUCUUCACCCUAGCACUCUCUCAAACCCACAGGUCAUUAAACAAAAUGUGCUCAUUUUGCAGAUAAAUUAACAGCAGCCUUUUUAGCAAUAAUCCUUUGAACUCCUUCCAUAGAAGAAUGUAUGAAAAUGAUCUCUCAGCUGUUCCAAGCACAAACAAGAGACAUCUACCUUCCAGCCACUUCCAUUAGCCAUUACAUUACUUGCAAAUUUGUCACCAGUAAUUGCAUUGUUUCUGGUCCCUCUGGAAUAUUUAAUAUUAAA